rnacentral:rRNA from 1 species
GACGAACGCUGGCGGCGUGCUUAACACAUGCAAGUCGAACGGAAAGGCCCUGCUUUUGUGGGGUGCUCGAGUGGCGAACGGGUGAGUAACACGUGAGUAACCUGCCCUUGACUUUGGGAUAACUUCAGGAAACUGGGGCUAAUACCGGAUAGGAGCUCCUGCUGCAUGGUGGGGGUUGGAAAGUUUCGGCGGUUGGGGAUGUACUCGCGGCUUAUCAGCUUGUUGGUGGGGUAGUGGCUUACCAAGGCUUUGACGGGUAGCCGGCCUGGGAGGGUGACCGGCCACAUUGGGACUGAGAUACGGACCAGACUCCUACGGGAGGCAGCAGUGGGGAAUAUUGCACAAUGGGCGGAAGCCUGAUGCAGCAACGCCGCGUGCGGGAUGACGGCCUUCGGGUUGUAAACCGCUUUCGCCUGUGACGAAGCGUGAGUGACGGUAAUGGGUAAAGAAGCACCGGCUAACUACGUG